rnacentral:rRNA from 1 species
UACGUAGGGUGCAAGCGUUGUCCGGAAUUAUUGGGCGUAAAGAGCUCGUAGGCGGUUUGUCGCGUCUGCUGUGAAAUCUGGGGGCUCAACCCCCAGCCUGCAGUGGGUACGGGCAGACUAGAGUGCGGUAGGGGAGAGUGGAAUUCCUGGUGUAGCGGUGGAAUGCGCAGAUAUCAGGAGGAACACCGAUGGCGAAGGCAGAGCUCUGGGCCGUAACUGACGCUGAGGAGCGAAAGCAUGGGGAGCGAACAGG